rnacentral:rRNA from 1 species
CAAUAGCGUAUAUUAAAGUUGUUGCAGUUAAAAAGCUCGUAGUUGGAUUUGUGGCGUACGGUGUGUUCCGGGCACUUGUUGUCUGAGUAACCUGCUGUUGCCAUCCUUGGGUGGAACCUGUGUGGCAUUAGGUUGUCGUGCAGGGGAUGCCCAUCAUUUACUGUGAAAAAAUUAGAGUGUUCAAAGCAGGCUUAUGCCGUUGAAUAUAUUAGCAUGGAAUAAUGAGAUAGGACUUUUUUGCUAUUUUGUUGGUUUGCGCAAGAAGGUAAUGAUUAAUAGGGACAGUUGGGGGUAUUCGUAUUCCAUUGUCAGAGGUGAAAUUCUUGGAUUUUUGGAAGACGAACUACUGCGAAAGCAUUUACCAAGGAUGUUUUCAUUGA